UACGAAGGGGGGCUAGCGUUGCUCGGAAUCACUGGGCGUAAAGGGUGCGUAGGCGGGUCUUUAAGUCAGGGGUGAAAUCCUGGAGCUCAACUCCAGAACUGCCUUUGAUACUGAAGAUCUUGAGUUCGGGAGAGGUGAGUGGAACUGCGAGUGUAGAGGUGAAAUUCGUAGAUAUUCGGAAGAACACCAGUGGCGAAGGCGGCUCACUGGCCCGGUACUAACGCUGAGGUGCGAAAGCGUGGGGAGCAAACAGG
rnacentral:rRNA from 1 species